UACGUAGGGUGCAAGCGUUGUCCGGAAUUAUUGGGCGUAAAGAGCUCGUAGGCGGUGUGUCGCGUCUGCUGUGAAAACUCAGGGCUCAACUCUGAGCUUGCAGUGGGUACGGGCACACUAGAGUGCUGUAGGGGAGACUGGAAUUCCUGGUGUAGCGGUGAAAUGCGCAGAUAUCAGGAGGAACACCGGUGGCGAAGGCGGGUCUCUGGGCAGUUACUGACGCUGAGGAGCGAAAGCAUGGGGGAGCGAACAGG
rnacentral:rRNA from 1 species